GACGAACGCUGGCGGCGUGCUUAACACAUGCAAGUCGAACGAUGAAGCUGGAGCUUGCUCCGGUGGAUUAGUGGCGAACGGGUGAGUAACACGUGAGAAAUCUGCCCUUCACUCUGGGAUAACUGCGGGAAACUGUAGCUAAUACCGGAUACUUUCCCUGGUGGGCAUCCACUAGGGAAGAAAGAAUUUCGGUGAAGGAUGAUCUCGCGGCCUAUCAGCUAGUUGGUGAGGUAAUGGCUCACCAAGGCGACGACGGGUAGCCGGCCUGAGAGGGUGAGCGGCCAAACUGGGACUGAGACACGGCCCAGACUCCUACGGGAGGCAGCAGUGGGGAAUAUUGCACAAUGGGCGAAAGCCUGAUGCAGCAACGCCGCGUGAGGGAUGAAGGUCUUCGGGUUGUAAACCUCUUUUAGCAGGGAAGAAGCGAAAGUGACGGUACCUGCAGAAAAAGCACCGGCUAACUACGUGCCAGCCGCCGCCGUAA
rnacentral:rRNA from 1 species